AGGGCACCACCAGGAGUGGAGCCUGCGGCUUAAUUUGACUCAACACGGGAAACCUCACCCGGCCCGGACACGGACAGGAUUGACAGAUCGAUAGCUCUUUCUCGAUUCCGUGGGUGGUGGUGCAUGGCCGUUCUUAGUUGGUGGAGCGAUUUGUCUGGUUAAUUCCGAUAACGAACGAGACUCUGGCAUGCUAACUAGUUACGCGACCCCCCGAGCGGUCGGCGUCCCCCAACUUCUUAGAGGGACAAGUGGCGUUCAGCCACCCGAGAUUGAGCAAUAACAGGUCUGUGAUGCCCUUAGAUGUCCGGGGCUGCACGCGCGCUACACUGACUGGCUCAGCGUGUGCCUACCCUACGCCGGCAGGCGCGGGUAACCCGUUGAACCCCAUUCGUGAUGGGGAUCGGGGAUUGCAAUUAUUCCCCAUGAACGAGGAAUUCCCAGUAAGCGCGGGUCAUAAGCUUGCGUUGAUUAAGUCCCUGCCCUUUGUACACACCGCCCGUCGCUACUACCGGAUGGGUG
rnacentral:rRNA from 1 species